rnacentral:rRNA from 1 species
AUUGAACGCUGGCGGCAGGCCUAACACAUGCAAGUCGAGCGGUUGAAGGGAGCUUGCUCCCUGAUUCAGCGGCGGACGGGUGAGUAAUGCCUAGGAAUCUGCCUAGUAGUGGGGGACAACGUUUCGAAAGGAACGCUAAUACCGCAUACGUCCUACGGGAGAAAGCAGGGGACCUUCGGGCCUUGCGCUAAUAGAUGAGCCUAGGUCGGAUUAGCUUGUUGGUGAGGUAAUGGCUCACCAAGGCGACGAUCCGUAACUGGUCUGAGAGGAUGAUCAGUCACACUGGAACUGAGACACGGUCCAGACUCCUACGGGAGGCAGCAGUGGGGAAUAUUGGACAAUGGGCGAAAGCCUGAUCCAGCCAUGCCGCGUGUGUGAAGAAGGUCUUCGGACUGUAAAGCACUUUAAGUUGGGAGGAAGGGUUGUAGAUUAAUACUCUGCAAUUUUGACGUUACCGACAGAAUAAGCACCGGCUAACUCUGUGCCAGCAGCCGCCGUAA